CACAAUUUCACAAAUCAUAAUGCAAUGCGCUUGUUUGUACCGCAACAAUGUGUUCUCAGUUGCUAGAUGUACGAUAUACUAAGUAAAUUAUAAAUCACGAAUGAAAGAUGAAAUUUUGAAUCCAGCUCCGAUCGGCGAUCGCUACUAUUUUGUGCAAUAUUAAAUUUUGGCUUCAUAAUUUUUGAACAGAAUUUAUACGCGAGGUGAUGUUUGCUUGUGAAGGAGCAACAAAGUUAUAAUUACACCUAGUGUUGUAGCUGACAAGUGUUUAUAUUUUUUUCACGUUCAUUCGUGGACCUGGCUGAAUCAUGCAUUCAAUUCCAUUGUUAAUCUUGAUGAAAACACGGAAAGAGGAGUUAUCGGAAAGUACACGCAGGUCUGUCUUGUGUGUCUAGAUAAGGAAUGAAUAAAGAACGGAAUAAGAAUACAACUACAUUGUCACAAUAGAUGAAUUACGUCAUUGGUUUCGAUCGCAGUGGUUGCUAUCUCGAAGUAACUUAUAAUAAGCAGCAGAUAUGCGAUUCACAUGAGAUUACUUACCCUACCGAUACAAAACUAUUAGGUAGUUAGAAUGAGUCUACAUACGUAAUUACAUGAAUCAAAUCAGCAGCAUCCGAUUUAACACAAACAGAAGGAAGAAUUAGUCUCAACUCUCAAGCAAAAGAAUCCAGAGUUCUGAUACUUUCUCGAUGCACAUGUUAUAAAAUCUCAAUACUUGAUUCGAGUUACUUUAUCCUGUAGAAUGAAGACAUGCACAGUGUGAUGUAAGAAAUGGCACAGACGAUAGGGUAAAUCGAAUUCGAAUGUAAUACAAUGAGAAAACAACACCUGAUCUCAAAUUUCUUGGAGCUGUAUCGUGGAAACAAGAGGGGUUGGAUCAAUUUCUGAACUUUUACUUCUCAACAAGGAAGAAUCCACGUAUUUAGAAUAUAGAAUGAAUGAAUACGAAAACACUUACCAUGAAAAUAUAGCAAAAAGAAAUCCACUUGAUCACUAAUUUAACAAAUUAUGCAGAUAAUGAGAACAAAA